GGGGUUGUAGCUCAGUGGUAAAGCACUUGCCUCAUAUGUGUGAGGCCUUAGGUUCAAUCCUCAGCACCA
rnacentral:tRNA from 1 species